rnacentral:rRNA from 1 species
GAUGAACGCUGGCGGCGUGCUUAACACAUGCAAGUCGAGCGAGAAGUUUUGAAAAGAUUCUUCGGAUGAAAUUUAAAAUGGAAAGCGGCGGACGGGUGAGUAACGCGUAGGCAACCUGCCCCAUACAAAGGGAUAGCAUUUGGAAACGAAUAGUAAUACCUUAUGAAACUUAACUAGUGCAUGCUAGGUAGGUCAAAGAUUUAUCGGUAUGGGAUGGGCCUGCGUCUGAUUAGCUAGUUGGUGAGGUAACGGCUCACCAAGGCGACGAUCAGUAGCCGACCUGAGAGGGUGAACGGCCACAUUGGAACUGAGACACGGUCCAAACUCCUACGGGAGGCAGCAGUGGGGAAUAUUGCACAAUGGGGGAAACCCUGAUGCAGCAACGCCGCGUGAACGAUGAAGGCCUUUGGGUCGUAAAGUUCUGUUCUAGGUGAUGAAAACUGACAGUAUCCUAGGAGAAAGCCCCGGCUAACUCCGUG